GUAAAGGUUUCGACGGGGGUCUUGAAGCUGGAGAAGCUAUCCGCAGGUGAUGCGUUAAAUCACAAACCUAAAAUUAAACGCUAACGACGAAUUAGCUUACGCUGCCUAAUGGCAGUUGUCCGACUUAGAGCACCUGCACUUUAGGACCCGGGCAUCGACUAUGCAGGAAACGACAUAUGCUAAGCUUUGCGCAUAUGGGCGUAUCAUGAAGCUACCGACGAUGUGAGAGUGUCUGUCCUCUUGCAUCCGGGGGAAUCAAAAUUGACCGACUAUGAUAGUAGAAGUACAGUGAAUGGGCUUUCGGACGCGGGUUCGAUUCCCGCCUGGUCCA
rnacentral:tmRNA from 1 species